UGUAGUGUAGACCAGGACGGGAGUCCUCUGUUUUGCCACAGAACAGGUACAGCACAGGCAGCGGCAGUCAAGCUUCCCCACGCAGUGCUUCCAGCUCUCCUCAUGUAAAUCAGGAGCGAUAGCACUGAAGGCAGUGCAGUCACACCAAUGUAAAAUUGUUAUAA
rnacentral:sRNA from 1 species